rnacentral:rRNA from 1 species
UGACAUGGGGGCAACCUGNAUCCAGCAAUGCCGCGUGAGUGAAGAAGGCCUUCGGGUUGUAAAGCUCUUUUGUCAGGGAAGAAACAGCAGCUCUAACACAGUCUGCGAAUGACGGUACCUGAAGAAUAAGCACCGGCUAACUACGUGCCAGCAGCCGCGGUAAUACGUAGGGUGCAAGCGUUAAUCGGAAUUACUGGGCGUAAAGCGUGCGCAGGCGGUUAUACAAGACAGGCGUGAAACCCCGGGCUUAACCUGGGAAUGGCGUCUGUGACUGUAUAGCUAGAGUGUGUCAGAGGGGGGUGGAAUUCCACGUGUAGCAGUGAAAUGCGUAGAUAUGUGGAGGAACACCAAUGGCGAAGGCGGCCCCCUGGGAUAACACUGACGCUCAUGCACGAAAGCGUGGGGAGCAAACAGGAUUAGAUACCCUGGUAGUCCACGCCCUAAACGAUGCUGACUAGUUGUUGGGAAUCUACAUUCUCAGUAACGUAGCUAACGCGUGAAGUCAGCCGCCUGGGGAGUACGGUCGCAAGAUUAAAACUCAAAGGAAUUGACGGGGACCCGCACAAGCGGUGGAUGAUGUGGAUUAAUUCGAUGCAACGCGAAAAACCUUACCUACCCUUGACAUGUCACUAACGAAGUAGAGAUACAUUAGGUGCCCGUAAGGGAAAGUGAACACAGGUGCUGCAUGGCUGU